CGAGUGGCGGACGGGUGAGUAAUGUCUGGGAAACUGCCUGAUGGAGGGGGAUAACUACUGGAAACGGUAGCUAAUACCGCAUAACGUCGCAAGACCAAAGAGGGGGACCUUCGGGCCUCUUGCCAUCGGAUGUGCCCAAAUGGGAUUAGCUAGUAGGUGGGGUAACGGCUCACCUAGGCGACGAUCCCUAGCUGGUCUGAGAGGAUGACCAGCCACACUGGAACUGAGACACGGUCCAGACUCCUACGGGAGGCAGCAUG
rnacentral:rRNA from 1 species